GACGAACGCUGGCGGCGUGCUUAACACAUGCAAGUCGAACGGAAAGGCCCUGCUUUUGUGGGGUGCUCGAGUGGCGAACGGGUGAGUAAUACGUGAGUAACCUGCCCUUGACUUUGGGAUAACUUCAGGAAACUGGGGCUAAUACCGGAUAGGAGCUCCUGCUGCAUGGUGGGGGUUGGAAAGUUUCGGCGGUUGGGGAUGGACUCGCGGCUUAUCAGCUUGUUGGUGGGGUAGUGGCUUACCAAGGCUUUGACGGGUAGCCGGCCUGAGAGGGUGACCGGGCAGAUGGGGAUUGAGAUACGGCCCGGACGCCAACGGGAGGCAGCAGGGGGGAGUAUUGAACAAUGGGGGGAAGCCUGAGGAAGCACCGCCGCGGGGGGGAUGACGGCCUUCGGGUGGUAAACGGCGUUGGCCUGUGACGAAGCGUGAGUGACGGUAAUGGGUAAAGAGGCAACGGCUAAUUCAGGG
rnacentral:rRNA from 1 species